rnacentral:rRNA from 1 species
CCUACGGGAGGCAGCAGUGGGGAAUAUUGCACAAUGGGGGAAACCCUGAUGCAGCGACGCCGCGUGAGUGAAGAAGUAAUUCGGUAUGUAAAGCUCUAUCAGCAGGGAAGACAAUGACGGUACCUGACGAAUAAGCCACGGCUAACUACGUGCCAGCAGCCGCGGUAAUACGUAGGUGGCAAGCGUUGUCCGGAUUUACUGGGUGUAAAGGGCGUGUAGCCGGGUUGACAAGUCAGAUGUGAAAUCAUGCGGCUUAACCGCAGAACUGCAUUUGAAACUGUUGAUCUUGAGUACUGGAGAGGCAGACGGAAUUCCUAGUGUAGCGGUGAAAUGCGUAGAUAUUAGGAGGAACACCAGUGGCGAAGGCGGUCUGCUGGACAGCAACUGACGGUGAGGCGCGAAAGCGUGGGGAGCAAACAGGAUUAGAUACCCGAGUAGUC